rnacentral:rRNA from 1 species
AUGGCGCCCUCCAAGCCCGCCCUCUUCCUCGCCUUGAACCUGGUCCUCGUGGCAGCCGCGCAUGGCUGCGGGUCGGUCUGCGGCAACACACCGGUUGUCCCAGUGCCAACAUUGCCGAUCGCCGUGCCCCCGCCGGCCGUCCCAGUCCCAACCCCGCCGACGACCGGAGGCGGCAGUGGCACCUGCUCGAUUAACAUGCUGAAGCUGAAGGCGUGCGCCAACAUACUGAACCUGCUAAGGAUCAACCUAGGCGUGCCGGCGAGCGAGGACUGCUGCCCGCUGCUGGGCCGGCUUGCCGACCCUGACGCCGCCGUGUGUCUCUGCACCGCCAUCAAGGCCAACGUCCUCGGCAUCAAGCACUGGAGUAAAAAUUCGACCUAUUCAUUUUUGCAGAAACUUUUGACCUAUUCAUUUUCAAUCAUGGCAGUACAAAAG